AGCAGCCGCGGUAAUUCCAGCUCCAAUAGCGUAUAUUAAAGUUGUUGCAGUUAAAAAGCUCGUAGUUGAAUUUCGGGGUUAGUAGAUUGGUCAUGCCUCUGGUAUGCACUGGUCUUACUGAUUCCUCCUUCCUGAUGAACCGUAAUGCCAUUAAUUUGGUGUUGCGGGGAAACUGGACUGUUACUUUGAAAAAUUAGAGUGUUUAAAGCAGGCUAACGCUUGAAUAUAUUAGCAUGGAAUAAUGAAAUAGGACGUUCGAUCUUAUUUUGUUGGUUUCUAGGAUUGACGUAAUGAUUAAUAGGGAUAGUUGGGGGCAUUAGUAUUCAAUUGUCAGAGGUGAAAUUCUUGGAUUUAUUGAAGACUAACUACUGCGAAAGCAUUUGCCAAGGAUGUUUUCAUUAAUCAAGAACGAAAGUUAGGGGACCGAAGACGAUCAGAUACCGUCGUAGUCUUAACCCAUAAACUAUGCCGACUAGGGAUCGGAUGAUGUUAAUUUUUAAUGACUCAUUCGGCGCCUUAC
rnacentral:rRNA from 1 species